CAUUCAGAUAUUUUAUGUAUUCAAUUGUUUGUCAUAGAUGACAUUUCGGUUAUUUUUCUAGGUAAAUCUGUAACUUUGCAGCUGGAACAAGAGCCGCAUCUGUGGAAUCUCUUCGUCUGUAGCCAUGUUGAAGGCUAGAUUAUACUUGCUGCAUCCAGCACCACAAAAUUAAAAACAUGAAAAAAAGGAGUGUGUCUGCUAGGGAAAGGGGGGGAAGGAGGUUCUUCUGAAAAAAAAGUGUGUCCUCUGCAUUUUCGAAAAAUACUAACAUAUUUGAUAAUGUUCUCACAUAAAAUAUGUGGGAUUUGAGCUCUGAAAAACCCGGACAGCUCAGAGCAGUUGCAAAAAAAGAGAAACAUAGGGAAAAGCACCGAAUUAGGAAAAACCAUUGAAAAACACCUGUCAGGAAAAAAACUCAAAAAGAAACCUACAAUCCUCUCUUAGUAAAUCAGGGCAAAUAAUGUUUUAGAAUGCAAAAUUUAUUGUUCUAUAUCCUCUACAAUUUUGAUUGAAGUCUGUUGAUUGAUUUCUGAAUAAA